UCCAACUUCCUGUUUCUUUCGUCUCUCAGUCUCUCAGAGCAACAUCUAAUUUAAUUUAGGGCAAAUAAAGAACCCUGACCCUACACAGACAUAUGCUAUGCUACAAACAAGGAGGUGAAGUAAUGAUACUUGUGUGAGAGUGAAAUUAUAAUGCAGAUUAUCAUAUAUUUUAACGUACACACACACACACACACACACACACACACACAGGUAAGGAGGAACAGAGGGCACAGAAGGAAACGCUUAAGUGACACAAAGUACAUUGAGAGCAGGUGCUUCCACACAGGUGUGCCUCCUGAGUUAAUUAAAGCAUUAAAAUCCCAGCAUGCUCUCUGCUGGAGGGGCCCAGCUAUCAUGACUAGAAGAGGAGAUGCCAGUGACUUUGAAAGUGGGCUAAUUGUUGGGGCAUGUUUGGCAGGAGCUUCUGUGAUUAAGACUGCUGGAUGAGGAACGGUGGCUAAGUUUCACAGUGAAAGGUCUUCCUUCCUCGCAUACGAUGCGUUGCCGUUGUGGAGAAGCAGUUCCUGAACGACCAAGUUUUGAGACUCGGUUUGAAAAGUGCUCGAGAUCUUGGGCGGCGGCCACCGUUAAAAAUAACGGAACGUGUCAAGCGACGCCAGCUUGGAUCGGAUUAGAGGGAGAAGAGCGGGCUGCAGCUGGGCAACGUUCGAAGAGAUCAAGUCAAAGGAAGAUGGAGCUGGCAUAACUGUUAUUUUUUUGUUUCUCUUUUGUCCUUUUAGUUCACGCAGGUGCACACUCGUGUAUUGAAAUGUAAUUUUAUUUUCGGGGGGGGUCAUGAAUUGAGGCUUUGAAUCUGCAGUUCAGCUGCUUUUUUUUUUUUUUUUUUCUUCUUUUUGUUUUUGUUUUGUCAGAGGGGGCGCACGUCAAGCAGCUGCCGGGAGCUCUUGUGAGAGCGCGCCCGUUGUUUUCCGACGGUGACGUUUUGGUGGGGGCAGGAAGGGGGUAGCCGAAGCGCUAUUCACGUAGGAAGAGGGGGCGAGGGAGGGGGGUCUAAACCGCAGGGUACAGCCGUAUCUCUCUCCGGGACGGGAGCGCGUCAGAGGACGGCGGCGUUGAUGCCCGCGCGGCGUUUCCCUCUUUUUUUUUUUCUUUUUUUUAAAAUUCAGAGACAGAGCGAUGGGCCUGCGGAAAACGGCCCAGACAGCGCGUUAGCGCACACGCUAAAGCCUUCCUCAGCCGUCGCCACAAGGACGCUUUUAAACGAGCUGAUGGGGGACGGGGAAAAGGAACUUAAUCAGAUGCAGAGUUUAGCUCUUAUAACCUGGCAGGAAUUUCAUGAGGCUGUGCUAUUUCGUUUUUUUGUUUUGUUUUUUUUUUUUCCUGCAUAUUUAUUGCGUCAUAAAUAAAUAUGUUGUACGGAAUGGCACUUUGAAAUAUACAGAAAUGGUGCAUAUAAAUGUAGAAUGACCAAUAACCGCAACAGCAAGGAUAAUCAUUGUUGUCAACAAUAAUCAUCGUCAUCAUCAUCAUCAU